UUCACACAGCCAUUCAAGCUCAAAUGAGUGAGAUGUGUACAGCAAGCAAGAAGCUCCUCUAUGGCAGACUGACAGAGGGUACCAUAAGACAAAUCCAACUCCUGAAGCACUGUCAGAACUCCUUCCUUGUAAAGAGGCUCCAAAGACUUGUCAGUGAGAUACUUGCAGGCUUGCAAUUUUAGUACCUUCAGUUGCAAACAAGACUCAAAAA
rnacentral:misc_RNA from 1 species